UACGGGGGGGGCAAGCGUUGUUCGGAAUUACUGGGCGUAAAGGGCUCGUAGGCGGCCAACUAAGUCAGACGUGAAAUCCCCCGGCUUAACCAGGGAACUGCGUCUGAUACUGGAUGGCUUGAGUUUGGGAGAGGGAUGCGGAAUUCCAGGUGUAGCGGUGAAAUGCGUAGAUAUCUGGAGGAACACCGGUGGCGAAGGCGACAUCCUGGACCAACACUGACGCUGAGGCACGAAAGCGUGGGGAGCAAACAGG
rnacentral:rRNA from 1 species